AACUUUGCGCAGUGGCAGUAUCAUAGCCAAUGUGGUUCAUCUGAGGUGUGAUUAUUGCUAGUUGAAAACUUUUCCCAAUACCCUGCCGUGUUGAUUUGAAAUAUAGUUGACACUGGCAAUUUUUGACAGUCUCAUGUGAGA
ensembl:snRNA U4 U4 spliceosomal RNA